rnacentral:rRNA from 1 species
UACGUAGGUGGCAAGCGUUGUCCGGAUUUAUUGGGUUUAAAGGGUGCGUAGGCGGUCUAUUAAGUCAGCGGUGAAAUACUCCAGCUCAACUGGAGGGGUGCCAUUGAUACUGAUGGACUUGAGUCAAGUCGAGGUAGGCGGAAUUGACGGUGUAGCGGUGAAAUGCUUAGAUAUCGUCAAGAACACCAAUAGUGAAGACAGCUUACUGGGCUUAAACUGACGCUGAGGCACGAAAGUGUGGGGAUCAAACAGG